rnacentral:rRNA from 1 species
CGGACGGGUGAGUAACGCGUGGGAAUAUGCCCUUUGGUACGGAACAGUCCCGGGAAACUGGGUUUAAUACCGUAUGUGGUCCUUCGUAGUGGAUACGGGGGACGAAAGAUUUAUCGCCAAAGGAUUAGCCCGCGUUGGAUUAGGUAGUUGGUGGGGUAACGGCCUACCAAGCCGACGAUCCAUAGCUGGUUUGAGAGGAUGAUCAGCCACACUGGGACUGAGACACGGCCCAGACUCCUACGGGAGGCAGCAGUGGGGAAUCUUAGACAAUGGGGGCAACCCUGAUCUAGCCAUGCCGCGUGAGUGAUGAAGGCCUUAGGGUUGUAAAGCUCUUUCAGCUGGGAAGAUAAUGACGGUACCAGCAGAAGAAGCCCCGGCUAACUCCGUGCCAGCAGCCGCGGUAAUACGGAGGGGGCUAGCGUUGUUCGGAAUUACUGGGCGUAAAGCGCAUGUAGGCGGACCAGAAAGUUGGGGGUGAAAUCCCGGGGCUCAACCCCGGAACGGCCUUCAAAACUAUUGGUCUGGAGUUCGAGAGAGGUGAGUGGAAUUCCGAGUGUAGAGGUGAAAUUCGUAGAUAUUCGGAGGAACACCAGUGGCGA